rnacentral:misc_RNA from 1 species
AAUUCUCAACUCCUCCAGUUUUUGUGACUGAGAUGGAGCUUGGAUGUGGAGGUCUUGCGGGCCCUUAAGGGGUCGGCUCCUCUGAAAUGCAUUAGCGGAACCGUUUGCGAUCCGUCACAGGUGUGAUAAUUAUCUACGCCAGUGGGUUGCUCUCUGUCUUGUUCAGCUGCCAACCGUCCGCAAGGACAGACUAUUUUACUGAAC